rnacentral:rRNA from 1 species
UACGGAGGGAGCUAGCGUUGUUCGGAUAUACUGGGCGUAAAGCGCACGUAGGCGGCGCGGCAAGUCAGGGGUGAAAUCCCGGAGCUCAACUCCGGAACUGCCCUUGAAACUGCAGUGCUAGAAUCCUGGAGAGGCGAGUGGAAUUCCGAGUGUAGAGGUGAAAUUCGUAGAUAUUCGGAAGAACACCAGUGGCGAAGGCGACUCGCUGGACAGGUAUUGACGCUGAGGUGCGAAAGCGUGGGGAGCGAACAGG